AACGAACGCUGGCGGCAUGCCUAACACAUGCAAGUCGAACGAGACCUUCGGGUCUAGUGGCGCACGGGUGCGUAACGCGGGGGAACCUGCCCUUAGGUUCGGAAUAACUCCCCGACAGGGGUGCUAAUACCGGGUAAUUUCUUCGGACCAAAGAUUUGUCGCCUUUGGAUGGGCACGCGUUGGCUUAGCUAGUUGGUAGGGUAAAAGCCUACCACGGCGACGCUCCAUAGCUGGUCUGAGAGGAUGAUCAGCCACACUUGGACUGGGACACGGCCCAGACUACUACGCGAGGGAGGAGAGGGGAAUAUUGGAAAAUGGGGGAAAGCCUGAACCAGCUAGGCCGGGUGAGUGAUGAAGGCCUGAGGGUUGUAAAGCUCUUUUACCCGGGAUGAUAAUGACAGUACCGGGAGAAUAAGCACCGGCUAACUCCGUG
rnacentral:rRNA from 1 species